UUUGCAGUGAUUAGAAUGCAUAAUUCCUCGUUCUGAAUGCCAGAGGCAUGAGAGACUCAAUCUUACACCCAUAGAAUCUGAGCUACA